CACGUAGGGCGCGAGCGUUGUCCGGAUUUAUUGGGCGUAAAGAGCGUGUAGGCGGCCAGACAGGUCCGUUGUGAAAACUGGAGGCUCAACCUCCAGACGUCGAUGGAAACCGUCUGGCUAGAGUCCGGAAGAGGAGAGUGGAAUUCCUGGUGUAGCGGCGAAAUGCGCAGAUAUCAGGAAGAACACCCGUGGCGAAAGCGGCUCUCUGGGACGGUACUGACGCUGAGACGCGAAAGCGUGGGGAGCGAACAGG
rnacentral:rRNA from 1 species